AUUGAACGCUGGCGGCAGGCCUAACACAUGCAAGUCGAACGGUAACAGGAAACAGCUUGCUGUUUCGCUGACGAGUGGCGGACGGGUGAGUAAUGUCUGGGAAACUGCCUGAUGGAGGGGGAUAACUACUGGAAACGGUAGCUAAUACCGCAUAACGUCGCAAGACCAAAGAGGGGGACCUUCGGGCCUCUUGCCAUCGGAUGUGCCCAGAUGGGAUUAGCUAGUAGGUGGGGUAACGGCUCACCUAGGCGACGAUCCCUAGCUGGUCUGAGAGGAUGACCAGCCACACUGGAACUGAGACACGGUCCAGACUCCUACGGGAGGCAGCAGUGGGGAAUAUUGCACAAUGGGCGCAAGCCUGAUGCAGCCAUGCCGCGUGUAUGAAGAAGGCCUUCGGGUUGUAAAGUACUUUCGGCGGGGAGGAAGGGAGUAAAGUUAA
rnacentral:rRNA from 1 species